UACGGAGGAUGCGAGCGUUAUCCGGAUUUAUUGGGUUUACAGGGUGCGCAGGCGGUCUGUUAAGUCAGCGGUCAAAGCCCGGGGCUCAACCCCGGCCCGCCGUUGAAACUGGCAGUCUUGAGUACAGUAGAGGUGGGCGGAAUUCGUGGUGUAGCGGUGAAAUGCAUAGAUAUCACGCAGAACUCCGAUCGCGAAGGCAGCCUACCGGCGCGCUACUGACGCUCAUGCACGAAAGCGUGGGUAUCGAACAGG
rnacentral:rRNA from 1 species